UACGUAGGGUGCAAGCGUUAAUCGGAAUUACUGGGCGUAAAGCGUGCGCAGGCGGUUCUAUAAGACAGAUGUGAAAUCCCCGGGCUCAACCUGGGAACUGCAUUUGUGACUGUAGAGCUGGAGUGCGGCAGAGGGGGAUGGAAUUCCGCGUGUAGCGGUGAAAUGCGUAGAUAUCUGGAGGAACACCGGUGGCGAAGGCGGCAUCCUGGACCGACACUGACGCUGAGGCGCGAAAGCUAGGGUAGCAAACGGG
rnacentral:rRNA from 1 species